CUCGCGAUAGCUCAGUUGGUAGAGCGGAGGACUGUAGUGGACAAUGAGAUAUCCUAGGUCGCUGGUUCAAAUCCGGCUCGCGAGA
rnacentral:tRNA from 1 species